UACGGAGGAUGCGAGCGUUAUCCGGAUUUAUUGGGUUUAAAGGGUGCGUAGGCGGGCUUUUAAGUCAGCGGUAAAAAUUCGGGGCUCAACCCCGUCCGGCCGUUGAAACUGGGGGUCUUGAGUGGGCGAGAAGAAGGCGGAAUGCGUGGUGUAGCGGUGAAAUGCAUAGAUAACACGCAGAACCCCGAUUGCGAAGGCAGCCUUCCGGCGCCCUACUGACACUGAGGCACGAAAGUGCGGGGAUCGAACAGG
rnacentral:rRNA from 1 species